GGAGGAGAGUGUGGAUGCAGCUGUAUCACAUCUGUUGCACACGUGCCUGUCACGCAGUCCCAAAGACCAGGCCUUGAGCCUAAGCACCAGUCAGCUAAGCAUGCCCAGGGACACAAGCCAACUGAAGAAGCACAUUGCUUUGCUGUGUGAUCGUCUAGGCAAAGGGGGGCGGCUUUCCUCAGAAGGCCACACCCACUCACCUAUCAUCAUGCCAGCCCAGAACCCGUCCCUGACUUACCAGUCCUGCUGAGUCCUGCUCUCCUCGGGUCCCGCCGUCCUGUGUAUCUUCGUCGGACUGACUCCCUGGCUGCUGACCUCCCCGCCUGUUUACCGACUUCGAUUCUCACCCUACGUUUCUGUUUCUGUUUGCCAUGGCUCCCCCCCGGAGAGAAGCUCCCUUGUUCGACACAGUCGCUCCUCUGCCGCGGAAGGCGGCGCUUCCCUUAACUGGGUUUGCGGGAAGCUUUCUCUCUGUUCUGUCGCUGUUUGUAUUAAAGUUCAGCAUUUCUCGCA